rnacentral:rRNA from 1 species
GAUGAACGCUGGCGGCGUGCUUAACACAUGCAAGUCGAACGAAACACCUUAUUUGAUUUUCUUCUGAACUGAAGAUUUGGUGAUUGAGUGGCGGACGGGUCAGUAUCUCGUUUUUAACCUGCCCUGUACAGGGGGAUAACAGUCAGAAAUGACUUCUAAUACCGCAUAAGACCACAGCACCGCUUGGUGCAGGGGUAAAAACUCCGGUGGUACAGGAUGGACCCGCGUCUGAUUAGCUGGUUGCUGAGGUAACGGCUCACCAAGGGGACGAUAAGUAGCCGGGUAGAGAGAGUGAACGGAGACAUUGGGACGGAGACACGGCCGAAAAUACUACGGGAGGAAGCAGUGGGGAAUAUUGCAAAAUGGGGGAAACCAUGAAGCAGCGACGGCGGGUGAGUGAAGAAGUAGGGAGGUAAGUAAAGCUCGAUCAGAAGGGAAGAAAAUGACGGUACCUGACUAAGAAGCCCCGGCUAACUACGUG